rnacentral:rRNA from 1 species
GACGAACGCUGGCGGCGUGCCUAAUACAUGCAAGUCGAGCGAAGUUUUUCUGGUGCUUGCACUAGAAAAACUUAGCGGCGAACGGGUGAGUAACACGUAAAGAACCUGCCUCAUAGACUGGGACAACUAUUGGAAACGAUAGCUAAUACCGGAUAACAGCAUUAACUGCAUGGUUGAUGUUUAAAAGUUGGUUUUGCUAACACUAUGAGAUGGCUUUGCGGUGCAUUAGCUAGUUGGUGGGGUAAAGGCCUACCAAGGCAACGAUGCAUAGCCGACCUGAGAGGGUGAUCGGCCACACUGGGACUGAGACACGGCCCAGACUCCUACGGGAGGCAGCAGUAGGGAAUCUUCCGCAAUGGGCGAAAGCCUGACGGAGCAACGCCGCGUGAGUGAAGAAGGAUUUCGGUUCGUAAAGCUCUGUUGUUAGGGAAGAAUGAUUGUGUAGUAACUAUACACAGAGAGACGGACCUACCAGAAGCC